UACGUAGGGUGCAAGCGUUAAUCGGAAUUACUGGGCGUAAAGGGUGCGUAGGCGGUUGGUUAAGUCUGUCGUGAAAUCCCCGGGCUCAACCUGGGAAUGGCGAUGGAUACUGGGCAGCUAGAGUGUGUCAGAGGAUGGUGGAAUUCCCGGUGUAGCGGUGAAAUGCGUAGAGAUCGGGAGGAACAUCAGUGGCGAAAGCGGCCAUCUGGGACAACACUGACGCUGAAGCACGAAAGCGUGGGGAGCAAACAGG
rnacentral:rRNA from 1 species